rfam:Haemophilus paracuniculus strain CCTG 43573 43573T_ctg_0000003, whole genome shotgun sequence.
UGUCGUAGCUGGAUUAGAGAUCGGCUAUUGAUGUAUUUUUAACCUCACUUUACGGAGUAAAUAAAAUGUCUCUAAGCGUAGAAGCAAAAGCAAAAAUCGUGGCUGAAUUUGGUCGUGAUGCA